rnacentral:rRNA from 1 species
GUUGUGAGGCCAUACAAUCCUGAACAUGUCUGAUCUCAUCUGAUCUCAGAACUUAAGCAGGAUUGAGCCUAGACACAAUAAGGAUGGGCAACUGAGGCUGCAUUCUGUAGUAUUUAGGGUCCUCCAUCA